UUAAGCGACUAAGCGUACACGGUGGAUGCCCUGGCAGUCAGAGGCGAUGAAGGACGUGCUAAUCUGCGAAAAGCGUCGGUAAGGUGAUAUGAACCGUUAUAACCGGCGAUGUCCGAAUGGGGAAACCCAGUGCAAUUCGUUGCACUAUCGUUAACUGAAUACAUAGGUUAACGAGGCGAACCGGGGGAACUGAAACAUCUAAGUACCCCGAGGAAAAGAAAUCAACCGAGAUUCCCCCAGUAGCGGCGAGCGAACGGGGAGCAGCCCAGAGUCUGAAUCAGCUUGUGUGUUAGUGGAACGGUCUGGAAAGUCCGACGGUACAGGGUGAUAGUCCCGUACACCAAAAUGCACAGGCUGUGAACUCGAAGAGUAGGGCGGGACACGUGGUAUCCUGUCUGAAUAUGGGGGGACCAUCCUCCAAGGCUAAAUACUCCUGACUGACCGAUAGUGAACCAGUACCGUGAGGGAAAGGCGAAAAGAACCCCGGCGAGGGGAGUGAAAAAGAACCUGAAACCGUGUACGUACAAGCAGUGGGAGCACCUUUAUGGUGUGACUGCGUACCUUUUGUAUAAUGGGUCAGCGACUUAUAUUCUGUAGCAAGGUUAACCGUAUAGGGGAGCCGCAGGGAAACCGAGUCUUAACUGGGCGUUAAGUUGCAGGGUAUAGACCCGAAACCCGGUGAUCUAGCCAUGGGCAGGUUGAAGGUUGGGUAACACUAACUGGAGGACCGAACCGACUAAUGUUGAAAAAUUAGCGGAUGACUUGUGGCUGGGGGUGAAAGGCCAAUCAAACCGGGAGAUAGCUGGUUCUCCCCGAAAGCUAUUUAGGUAGCGCCUCGUGAACUCAUCUUCGGGGGUAGAGCACUGUUUCGGCUAGGGGGUCAUCCCGACUUACCAACCCGAUGCAAACUACGAAUACCGAAGAAUGUUAUCACGGGAGACACACGGCGGGUGCUAACGUCCGUCGUGAAGAGGGAAACAACCCAGACCGCCAGCUAAGGUCCCAAAGUCAUGGUUAAGUGGGAAACGAUGUGGGAAGGCACAGACAGCCAGGAUGUUGGCUUAGAAGCAGCCAUCAUUUAAAGAAAGCGUAAUAGCUCACUGGUCGAGUCGGCCUGCGCGGAAGAUGUAACGGGGCUAAACCAUGCACCGAAGCUGCGGCAGCGACACUAUGUGUUGUUGGGUAGGGGAGCGUUCUGUAAGCCUGCGAAGGUGACCUGUGAGGGUUGCUGGAGGUAUCAGAAGUGCGAAUGCUGACAUAAGUAACGAUAAAGCGGGUGAAAAGCCCGCUCGCCGGAAGACCAAGGGUUCCUGUCCAACGUUAAUCGGGGCAGGGUGAGUCGACCCCUAAGGCGAGGCCGAAAGGCGUAGUCGAUGGGAAACAGGUUAAUAUUCCUGUACUUGGUGUUACUGCGAAGGGGGGACGGAGAAGGCUAUGUUAGCCGGGCGACGGUUGUCCCGGUUUAAGCAUGUAGGCUGGUUAUCCAGGCAAAUCCGGAUAAUCAAGGCUGAGGUGUGAUGACGAGGCACUACGGUGCUGAAGUAACAAAUGCCCUGCUUCCAGGAAAAGCCUCUAAGCAUCAGGUAACAUCAAAUCGUACCCCAAACCGACACAGGUGGUCAGGUAGAGAAUACCAAGGCGCUUGAGAGAACUCGGGUGAAGGAACUAGGCAAAAUGGUGCCGUAACUUCGGGAGAAGGCACGCUGGUGUGUAGGUGAAGUCCCUGCGGAUGGAGCUGAGACCAGUCGAAGAUACCAGCUGGCUGCAACUGUUUAUUAAAAACACAGCACUGUGCAAACACGAAAGUGGACGUAUACGGUGUGACGCCUGCCCGGUGCCGGAAGGUUAAUUGAUGGGGUUAUCCGUAAGGAGAAGCUCUUGAUCGAAGCCCCGGUAAACGGCGGCCGUAACUAUAACGGUCCUAAGGUAGCGAAAUUCCUUGUCGGGUAAGUUCCGACCUGCACGAAUGGCGUAAUGAUGGCCAGGCUGUCUCCACCCGAGACUCAGUGAAAUUGAACUCGCUGUGAAGAUGCAGUGUACCCGCGGCAAGACGGAAAGACCCCGUGAACCUUUACUAUAGCUUGACACUGAACAUUGAGCCUUGAUGUGUAGGAUAGGUGGGAGGCUUUGAAGCGUGGACGCCAGUCUGCGUGGAGCCAACCUUGAAAUACCACCCUUUAAUGUUUGAUGUUCUAACGUUGGCCCCUUACCGGGGUUGCGGACAGUGUCUGGUGGGUAGUUUGACUGGGGCGGUCUCCUCCCAAAGCGUAACGGAGGAGCACGAAGGUUAGCUAAUCCUGGUCGGACAUCAGGAGGUUAGUGCAAUGGCAUAAGCUAGCUUGACUGCGAGCGUGACGGCGCGAGCAGGUGCGAAAGCAGGUCAUAGUGAUCCGGUGGUUCUGAAUGGAAGGGCCAUCGCUCAACGGAUAAAAGGUACUCCGGGGAUAACAGGCUGAUACCGCCCAAGAGUUCAUAUCGACGGCGGUGUUUGGCACCUCGAUGUCGGCUCAUCACAUCCUGGGGCUGAAGUAGGUCCCAAGGGUAUGGCUGUUCGCCAUUUAAAGUGGUACGCGAGCUGGGUUUAGAACGUCGUGAGACAGUUCGGUCCCUAUCUGCCGUGGGCGCUGGAGAAUUGAGGGGGGCUGCUCCUAGUACGAGAGGACCGGAGUGGACGCAUCACUGGUGUUCGGGUUGUCAUGCCAAUGGCACUGCCCGGUAGCUAAAUGCGGAAGAGAUAAGUGCUGAAAGCAUCUAAGCACGAAACUUGCCCCGAGAUGAGUUCUCCCUGAGACUAUAAGUCUCCUGAAGGAACGUUAAAGACGAUGACGUUGAUAGGCCGGGUGUGUAAGCGCAGCGAUGCGUUGAGCUAACCGGUACUAAUGAACCGUGAGGCUUAACCU
rnacentral:rRNA from 1 species